GGCGGAGACCUCAAGCAGAUUCGAGCCAGUCUCACCCGCAACGGAAGCCAUAACAGCCGGCCCGAACAAGCAUUCCUGGGCGCGGCGGAAGCCAUAGUUCUCCCCCUCCGCCCCUCGCGAUUCGUCGCUCGGGGAUGACGAAGCAAGCCCUCUUCGUUCGAACGAUUUCGGGACCUCGUCCUUUUCCCCGCCCACUCACUUGACUGAAGAGUAAUUUCAGUAAGGCCAAUUUACUACGAAGCUGGAAAGCGAUGUCUUCCUAGGUGCAGUAGCGGUCUCACUUAAACACUCAUUGUGAGAUGGUGGCGGCAGCUUUUCUCCCCAAUUGUUCCCAGCGGUGCGGAGUAGCUGUUUUGAUAAGUUAUCCAACGUAGCAGUAAUGGGAAGUAUCUAGGGAAAGGACGGGAGGGAGUGGGGACGCUUUGAUGCAUGCAUAUAAAAAUGUUGUGAAGACAGGACUCUGCCGCGAGGAGCUUACAGUCUUAAAAUUCACCAUAGGGGAGGCAACAGACGGAGGAACGGGUAAACAGGGGAAGGGUAUGCAUUCAGUUACACAACGAAUCGGUCAAGCGUACCUAUAGUAAGGGAAGAGGCAAAUCAAAGUGGGCUGAAGAUGCUCAUCAAAGCCUGAGUUGCCUAAUCUCCUCGGAGCUACAAGGAGCAGUGCCCGUCCAAGCCCUUUAGUCCUUUGUUGUGACACAGCUGCAUGGUGCAAGGGCUUCCCUGGAAAUAAGCAGAAUUGCCCCUGUCUCAGUGCAAGGGUGACAGCUGAGCCUCAGCCCUCAGGUUGUUCCCUAUAUAAAAGGGAAAAGACGUCGACAUACUCCCCUCGCCAAAUUUUUUCUUUCGUUGAAGGGAGCAGGUGGAAGCCUAAGGUGAUGGACGUGUCUGUGAUGUUCCUGUAUUAAUGUAUAUAUGGUGAGGCUGUUGCUGUACUGAACCGCUGCCUGGCCGCGAUAAUGGACUGGAUGAGAGCAAACAAACUGAAGCUCAAUCCUGACAAGACUGAGAUGCUGCUAGUUGGGGGGCCCUCUGCUCAGAUGGUUGAUGUCAGACCUGUCCUAGAUGGGGUUACACUCCCCCUAAAGGAACAGGUCCGUAGUUUGGGGAUCUUAUUAGAUCCGCUUCUGUCACUUGAGGCCCAGGUAGCCUCGGUGGCACGAAAUGCAUUCUACCAGCUUCAGCUGGUAGCCCAACUACGACCCUAUCUGGACAGGGAGAACCUAGCCUCAGUUAUUCACGCUCUGGUAACCUCUAGAUUGGAUUACUGUAAUGCUCUCUACCUAGGGUUACCUUUGAAAACGAUUCAGAAACUUCAGCUAGUGCAGAAUGCUGCGGCCAGAGUUCUUACUGGGACGAAGAAAUUCGACCACAUAACACCUAUUCUGGCCCAACUGCACUGGCUUCCAAUAUGUUUCCGGGCCAGAUUCAAAGUGUUGGUCCUUACCUAUAAAGCCCUUAACGGCACUGGACCGCAAUAUCUGAUGGAACGCCUCUCCCGCUAUGAUCCUACCCGUUCACUCCGCUCGACGUCUAAGGCCCUUCUCCGGGUCCCAACCCAUACAGAGGCCCGGAGAACAGUAACAAGAUCUAGGGCCUUUUCGGUGGUGGCCCCCGAAUUAUGGAAUGCCCUCCCAGAUGAGAUACGCCUGGCGCCUUCUCUGUCAUCUUUUCGGCACCAGGUAAAAACCCACCUCUUCACCCAGGCAUUUUAAAGUAUUUAAGCUUUUAAUCUUAUUUUUUUAGUUUUCUUUCACUUUGUUUAUAUAAUGUUUAUAUUGUCUGCGCAAUACACACUUGCUGUAUUUUAAAUAUUGUGGUUUUAUCAUGU